GUGAGGAAUCUUCCACAAUGGGCGAAAGCCUGAUGGAGCAACGCCGCGUGAAGGAUGAAGGUCUUCGGAUUGUAAACUUCUUUUAUGAGUGAAGAAUAUGACGGUAACUCAUGAAUAAGCACCGGCUAACUACGUGCCAGCAGCCGCGGUCAUACGUAGGGUGCAAGCAUUAUCCGGAGUGACUGGGCGUAAAGAGUUGCGUAGGCGGUUAUGUAAGCGAAUAGUGAAACCUGGGGGCUCAACCACACAGACUAUUAUUCGAACUGCAUAACUCGAGAAUGGUAGGGGUAACUGGCAUUUCUUGUGUAGUAGUGAAAUCCGUAGAUAUAAGAAGGAACACCAAUGGCGUGGGCAGGUUACUGGGCCAUUUCUGACGCUAAGGCACGAGAGCGUGGGGAGAGAACCGGAUUAGAUACCCUUGUAGUCC
rnacentral:rRNA from 1 species